rnacentral:SRP_RNA from 10 species
GCCGGGCGUGGUGGCGGGCGCCUGUAGUCCCAGCUACUUGGGAGGCUGAGGCAGGAGAAUGGCGUGAACCCGGGAGGCGGAGCUUACAGUGAGCCGAGAUUGCACCACUGCGCUCCAGCCUGGGCAACAGAGUGAGACUCUGUCUCAAAAAAAAAAAAAAAAAAAAAAAUAUAUAUAUAUAUAUAUAUAUCUCCCCAGAGAGGAGAAAAAGGAAUAAUCUUUUUUUUUUUUUUUUCUUUUUGAGACAAACUCUCACUCUAUCGCCCAGGCUGGAGUGCAGUGGUGAGAUCUCGGCUCACUGCAACCUCCGCC